rnacentral:rRNA from 1 species
UACGAAACGUCCUAACGUUGUUCGGAAUCACUGGGCUUAAAGGGCGCGUAGGCGGGCGAUCCAGUCCGGGGUGAAAUCUUUCGGCUUAACCGGAAAACAGCCUUGGAUACUGCUCGUCUCGAGGGAGGUAGGGGCCUGUGGAACUUCCGGUGGAGCGGUGAAAUGCGUUGAUAUCCGGAGGAACACCAGUGGCGAAGGCGACUUUCUGGCCUGUUCUUGACGCUGAGGCGCGAAAGCUAGGGGAGCAAACGGG